rnacentral:rRNA from 1 species
CUUGCUCUUCGAGUUAGUGGCGGACGGGUGAGUAACGCGUGAGCAAUCUGCCUUUCAGAGGGGGGAUAACAUUGGGAAACCGGUGCUAAUACCGCAUGAUGUGCGAGGGUCGCAUGACUCUUGUACCAAAGGAGCAAUCCGCUGAAAGAUGAGCUCGCGUCUGAUUAGCUAGUUGGUGAGGUAACGGCCCACCAUGGCGACGAUGUCUAGGGGUUCUGAGAGGAAGGUCCCCCACACUGGAACUGAGACACGGUCCAGACUCCUACGGGAGGCAGCAGUGAGGAAUAUUGGUCAAUGGUCUGACGACUGAACCAGCCAUGCCGCGUGAAGGUCACGGCCCUAUGGGUCUUAAACUUCUUUUGCAAGGGAGCAAUAAGGUCUACGUGUAGACUGAUGAGAGUACCUUGCGAAUAAGCAUCGGCUAACUCCGUG